CUCGUCUUGGCCUGGCGCCCUUCGAGGACCGAGUGGCAGGUGCCCUUCUCAAAAGCCACCUAAGGUCCAGGUCAGCGCAGGGGCUGGGGCUGCUCUGUCUCCAAACUAACCUGAGACAUAAAUCCCCAGAACCCCGCUGCCCAACCUCAGGGUGCUUCCUCUCCUCCUCCCCAGGCUUCGAGACUGCCUGCCAUGACGGCCACCUCCUCCACUCCCGGCCCACUCAGGGUCACCCUCCUCCCGGCCUUAUCCCCUGCUGACCCUUUUCUCUUCCUCUAGGGCACUUGCUUCCAAAUGAGGACCCAGAGGCUGAGAAACGACAGGAGUAUUUUCUGGGUCCAUCUUGGGCUACCUGAGGCCAGGGGCGUGCUCCUCCUUCUAGGGCUUGAUCUUCACUUCUAGCCGGGACACGGCUUGUCCCUUGAGACCGAGGGCAGCCUUCCCUUCAGGUCCCGGGGAAAGGAGGUGAGCAAGCUAUAGGAGGGCCAUCGGGCAAAUGGCAGUGACAGACAUCAUUUGGGUCCCCAGAGGGUGGAGCCUGGAUGCCGUUUGGUGUGGGAUGAGGUUUUCAGGACCCCUGAACCCGACCGUGGUGGAAGGCUGCGUGCCGCCCUGAUCAACAGUGAUUUCCAGUGUGACGGUGAAAGCCGGUGGGGACCCCCGUCCUAGGGGCCAUGAGGUCAUCGUGCCUGCGCUGUGUGCUUUGUUUGUACAGUGACACCAUUUUCCAGGCCAGAGUAGUCUGUACUCUGACGUGCCGAGGACUCGCGGUUUGGUUUUGUGUCGGGAGGCAGCAGGUGUACGGACCACCUGUGACAAGAGCUCAAGUGGCAGGAUGGAGGUUGGAGUGACAUGUGACGUCAACACAGGGAGGAGCAGCCUGGGGACUGGAAGUGCAGCCUGCAUUGUGGACAGUCUACACUGGGUCAUCUAGAGAUUCUUCACUCACCUCAGGCUCGAAGUGCACUCAGCGAGGGCUCCUGUGCCCGGCACUGGGUACACCACCCCCUCUCUCCCUCCUACUGGCCGGGUGCUGAGGACGGGACCAGGUGGGCUCCUGGGCUGUGGUCAUGUGCAUUGAUUUUGGCCCAGUCGGCCACCGUCCCUGUGCAGUCCGGUGGAGCCUGGAUGACCUCUGACCUAGCCCUUCAUUCUGGAGAAAGGUGAGACGUCUCUCACCCUGCAGACAUCAGAGACAGGAGAUUCCUGUCUUGCGGCCUCUGGGACCUCCGCAGAGAGUGGCCUGGUUGGUUCCCUCCAGUUUCAUGCUUUCAGUCUAAGCCAUUUUCUGCAUCUGCCCUGAGUAAAGCCAUGGCUUGAGCAUUGUUUUCACAACCAGGUUCUGGAACCCCAGGAUCCCAAGAGGGACGUCAACUGCUGCCCUGAGGCUGGGUUCUCUGGGGUGGGGGGGCAGGAUUCCCUUUCCUGCUAAUGCCAGAGCCUCUCAGCUACCGUCAGUUUCAUGUGCUUUGAGCUUUGUUUAAUAUUUUGUUGGAAAAGGGUUCUGCAAUAAAAGAAAACUAGAAUAGUGAUAAAGGUCAG
rnacentral:lncRNA from 1 species